AUGGGGGACUCGAGCGACGCCGUCAUGGCGCGGUGGCUGCAGUCCGCGGGGCUGCAGCACCUCGCGGCUUCGUCGGCGGGCCCCGCCGGGGACCAGCGCGGCGCCGGCGUGGGGGGCCUUGGAGGCGGCGCCGGAGGAGCGGGCAUGCUUCCGAGUCUGCUCAUGCAGGGCUAUGGACCACAGUCAGUUGAAGAGAAACAAAGGCUAUAUAUGCUGCUGAGGAACUUGAAUUUUAACGGAGAAUCUUUGCCUGCAUCAGUCUCUGAGCCCUAUACACCAACUGCUCAGAAAUUUGGCAGUGGGACUUCCGCAGAGGGUCUGUAUUCACCUGAACUUAGAGGUGAACUUGGAGCUGGUCUUCUGGAUCUCCAUGCUAUGGAUGACACUGGACUUCUUUCUGAGGAUGUAGAUUCAGAACCAUUUGAGCCUUCACCCUUUAUGCCAAAGGAAAUUGAUGAUGAUGAGGAUGAUAUGAUAACAGGAAACCAGCUAGGUCCAGCUGAUAACUAUAAUGCAGUGACGAGUGAAAAGGAGAUCAAUACUAGAGAAAAUAAUGUAGCGAAGAUCAAAGUUGUGGUAAGAAAGAGGCCCCUGAACAGAAAAGAGUUAUCUCGAAAGGAAGAUGAUGCUGUAGCUGUGCAUGAUUCAUCUUCUUUGACAGUUUAUGAACCUAAGCUGAAGGUCGACUUGACAGCUUAUGUGGAGCAGCAUGAAUUUUGUUUUGACGCUGUCCUGGAUGAGGAUGUUUCUAAUGACGAGGUGUAUCGCGAGACAGUGGAACCCAUUAUACCAAUAAUAUUCCAGAGAACCAAAGCAACAUGUUUUGCUUAUGGACAAACAGGUAGUGGGAAGACAUACACAAUGCAACCUUUGCCUCUGAGGGCUGCUCAAGACAUGAUUCGUCUUUUGAAUCAACCUGUCUACCGGAAUCAAAAUUUUAAGCUGUGGCUCAGCUACUUCGAGAUAUACGGUGGGAAACUCUAUGAUCUUCUAUCAGACAGAAGACACUUACUGAUGAGGGAGGAUGGCAAGAAACAAGUUUGCAUAGUCGGUCUGCAGGAAUUUGAGGUUUCUGAUGUCCAGGUUGUCAGGGAAUAUAUUGAGAGGGGAAAUGCAGCAAGGAGCACAGGGUCUACAGGGGCCAAUGAAGAGUCAUCGAGGUCACAUGCCAUUCUGCAACUGGCUGUGAAGAAGCAUAUUAUAGUAACUGAAACUAGGAGACAAAGGGACAGGGAUGCCAAUGAAGCUAAAAACACGAAGGCAGUGGGAAAAAUAUCUUUUAUUGAUCUUGCUGGAAGCGAACGUGGCGCUGAUACAACAGAUAAUGAUAGGCAGACAAGAAUUGAAGGUGCAGAGAUAAACAAGAGCCUCCUUGCUCUGAAGGAAUGCAUCCGGGCCCUUGACAAUGAUCAGAUACACAUUCCUUUCAGAGGAAGCAAGCUCACAGAGGUUCUCCGUGACUCAUUUGUUGGCAACUCUAGGACGGUGAUGAUUUCUUGCAUUUCUCCCAAUGCAGGUUCAUGUGAACACACGUUAAAUACAUUGAGAUAUGCCGAUAGGGUUAAAAGUCUUUCAAAGGGUGGCAACACAAGAAAGGAGCAGUCUACUGCACCAACUAUUCCUUCCAUGAGGGAGUCUUCAUCUGCUCCAUCCUAUCCUUUAUCUGUUGAGGCCGAAGAAGUACCCAACCAGAUCCAGGAGAAGAGACCUGUCGAUAUAUCUAGGAGAGGCGCUGAAAAUUUUACCUCCAACUCUUCGAUGGAGCCUGACAGGAAUAACUUUAGUAUGAUCCCAAGUUAUUCUAAUAGAGGAAAAGAGGAAAACGGUGCAUCUGGUUUGAAUGAUAGGGAGAGGGUUGAUUUUAGUUCUGGCCGAACUGUUUACAACAGUAAAGCACAGUUAAUUCAGAAUUCAGCAAAUGCACAAGAGGAUGAAAAGGUUACCAGAGUCUCACCUCCCAGGAGGAAGGUCAUAAGGGAAGACAAAUCUGAAAAGCAGAACUACAUGAAAAAGGAUAGUGGAAUUGAGGCAAGUCGGCCUGGAUAUAAGGUUCAGCAGGUAAGGCAGUUGCAACAGCAGCAACGACCAACAUCUGCUUCAGCUUCUCAGGUUUCGUCAAGGCAAUCUGAAAAAGAAAGUUCAUGCGAUGAUGUGGAGAUAGAUGCCAUUCUUGAGGAAGAGGAGGCCCUCAUUGCAGCUCACAGGAAGGAAAUCGAGAAUACAAUGGAGAUCGUGCGCGAAGAGAUGAACCUUUUGGCAGAAGUUGACCAACCAGGCAGCCUUAUUGACGACUAUGUGACACAAUUGAGCUUUCUUCUGUCACGCAAGGCUGCAGGCUUGGUCAGCCUCCAAGCGCGCCUUUCAAGGUUUCAACAGCGCCUCAAAGAGCAGGAGAUCCUUAGCCGUAAGAAAUCAUCCAGAUAG
rnacentral:rRNA from 1 species